ACGCUCGACACCUACGGAGAGGCAGCAGUCGGGAAUAUUGCGCAAUGGAGGAAACUCUGACGCAGUGACGCCGCGUAUAGGAAGAAGGUUUUCGGAUUGUAAACUAUUGUCGUUAGGGAAGAGAAAGGACAGUACCUAAGGAGGAAGCUCCGGCUAACUACGUGCCGGCAGCCGCGGUAAUCUGAGCGGGCUGGCAAGGC
rnacentral:rRNA from 1 species